rnacentral:rRNA from 1 species
CGCCUGGGGAGUACGGCCGCAAGGUUAAAACUCAAAUGAAUUGACGGGGGCCCGCACAAGCGGUGGAGCAUGUGGUUUAAUUCGAUGCAACGCGAAGAACCUUACCUGGUCUUGACAUCCACAGAACUUUCCAGAGAUGGAUUGGUGCCUUCGGGAACUGUGAGACAGGUGCUGCAUGGCUGUCGUCAGCUCGUGUUGUGAAAUGUUGGGUUAAGUCCCGCAACGAGCGCAACCCUUAUCCUUUGUUGCCAGCGGUCCGGCCGGGAACUCAAAGGAGACUGCCAGUGAUAAACUGGAGGAAGGUGGGGAUGACGUCAAGUCAUCAUGGCCCUUACGACCAGGGCUACACACGUGCUACAAUGGCGCAUACAAAGAGAAGCGACCUCGCGAGAGCAAGCGGACCUCAUAAAGUGGGUAGUAGUCCGGAUUGGAGUCUGCAACUCGACUCCAUGAAGUCGGAAUCGCUAGUAAUCGUGGAUCAGAAUGCCACGGUGAAUACGUUCCCGGGCUUUGUACACACCGCCCGUCACACCAUGGGAGUGGGUUGCAAAAGAAGUAGGUAGCUUAACCUUCGGGAGGGCGCUUACCACUUUGUGAU